ensembl:lncRNA
GGAGAACAGGGGUCAUGGUGGAGAACAGGUGUCAGGAUGGAGAACAGGGGUCAUGGUGGAGAACAGGGGUCAUGGUGGAGAACAGGGGUCAGGAUGGAGAACAGGGGUCAGGAUGGAGAACAGGGGUCAGGAUGGAGAACAGGGGUCAGGAUGGAGAACAGGGUCAGGAUGGAGAACAGGGGUCAUGGUGGAGAACAGGGGUCAUGGUGGAGAACAGGGGUCAGGAUGGAGAACAGGGGUCAGGAUGGAGAACAGGGGUCAUGGUGGAGAACAGGGGUCAGGAUGGAGAACAGGGGUCAUGGUGGAGAACAGGGGUCAGGAUGGAAGAACAGGGGUCAAGAUGGAGAACAGGGGUCAUGGUGGAGAACAGGGGUCAGGAUAGAGAACAGGGGUCAGGAUAGUGGAUCAGGACAGAAAACAGGGGUCAGGAUAGAGAACAGGAGUCAGGACAGUGGAUCAGGACAGAGAACAGACAACCUGAUCCACUAUCCUGACAACGCCAGAGGCCCGGAGCCAGUGUUUUCAUACCCUCACCUUGUACAGAGAGUACUGAUCGUUGUCCUUGUUCUGGCGUUCGGAAAUGGACCAUUCAACUCCGAUGAAGGACAACUUCACUGUCAGUCAUCUAGAUGUUCCUCUCUUCGCACCAGGAAGUACAAGGUUCACUGUCAGUCAUCUAGAUGUUCCUCUCUUCGCACCAGGAAGUACAAGGUUCACUGUCAGUCAUCUAGAUGUUCCUCUCUUCGCACCAGGAAGUACAAGGUUCACUGUCAGUCAUCUAGAUGUUCCUCUCUUCGCACCAGGAAGUACAAGGUUCACUGUCUCCCAUCUUCCUCUGUAUGGCCUGUAACCAUAAAGCAACUCAGAGGAGGAGUGCUGAUCUAGGAUCAGGCUGUUCCUGUCCAGGUCAUCUUUAGGGGCUCCCGAGUGGCGCAGCGGUCUAAGGCACUGCAUAUCAGUGCUUGAGGCGUCACUACAGACACCCCGGUUAGAUUCCAGGCUGUAUCACAACCGGCCGUGAUUUGGAGACCCAUAAGGCGGCGCACAAUUGGCCCCAGCGUCGUCCCGGGUUUGGCCGGUGUCGGCCGUCAUUGUAAAUAAGAAUUUGUUCUUAACUAACUUGCCUAGUUAAAUAUAUAUAUAUAUAUAUAUAUAUAUAUAUAUAUAUAUAUAUAUAUAAUUUUUUUUUUUUAAAUAAUCUUGUUUAAAAGACUAACCUGAUUCUAGAUCAGCAGUCCUACCCAGAGAGGCUUUGUGGGUAAUGGGUCCUGAUCUCUAUUAUAUAUACUGAUACCAGAAGUGCAUGUCUUCAAGCAGCAUAUGAUGUAUUAAAGACACACGUCGCUCUGACAACGAUAAUGGACUUUUAGAACUGUUUCAUUCUUUUUUUUCUCCUGUAUGCAAAUAUAUGUAAAUCUAUUUAAAUUCCUGAUGUAAAUACCAAUAAAGUCAAUUAUGUCAACAAGU